UACGGGGGGGGCAAGCGUUGUUCGGAAUUACUGGGCGUAAAGGGCUACGUAGGCGGCCAACUAAGUCAGACGUGAAAUCCCUCGGCUUAACCGGGGAACUGCGUCUGAUACUGGAUGGCUUGAAUCCGGGAGAGGGAUGGCGGAAUUCCAGGUGUAGCGGAUGAAAUGCGUAGGAUAUCUGGAGGAACACCGGUGGCGAAGGCGGGGUCUCGU
rnacentral:rRNA from 1 species